rnacentral:rRNA from 1 species
UACGUAGGGUGCAAGCGUUAAUCGGAAUUACUGGGCGUAAAGCGUGCGCAGGCGGUUCUAUAAGACAGAUGUGAAAUCCCCGGGCUCAACCUGGGAACUGCAUUUGUGACUGUAGAGCUGGAGUACGGCAGAGGGGAUGGAAUCCGCGUGUAGCAGUGAAAUGCGUAGAUAUGCGGAGGAACACCGAUGGCGAAGGCAAUCCCCUGGGCCUGUACUGACGCUCAUGCACGAAAGCGUGGGGAGCAAACAGGG